UACGGAGGGUGCAAGCGUUAUCCGGAUUCACUGGGUUUAAAGGGUGCGUAGGCGGGCAGGUAAGUCCGUGGUGAAAUCUCUGAGCUUAACUCAGAAACUGCCAUGGAUACUAUUUGCCUUGAAUAUUGUGGAGGUGAGCGGAAUAUGUCAUGUAGCGGUGAAAUGCUUAGAUAUGACAUAGAACACCAAUUGCGAAGGCAGCUCACUACACAAUCAUUGACGCUGAGGCACGAAAGCGUGGGGAUCAAACAGG
rnacentral:rRNA from 1 species